AAACGACUCUCGGCAACGGAUAUCUCGGCUCUCGCAUCGAUGAAGAACGUAGCGAAAUGCGAUACUUGGUGUGAAUUGCAGAAUCCCGUGAACCAUCGAGUCUUUGAACGCAAGUUGCGCCCUAAGCCUUCUGGCCGAGGGCACGUCUGCCUGGGUGUCAC
rnacentral:rRNA from 41 species